rnacentral:rRNA from 1 species
UACGUAGGGUGCGAGCGUUAAUCGGAAUUACUGGGCGUAAAGCGUGCGUAGGCGGUCCGCAAAGUCUGAUGUGAAAUCCCCGGGCUUAACCUGGGAAUGGCCAUGGAAACUGGCGAGCUGGAGUCUGGCAGAGGGGGGUGGAAUUCCGCGUGUAGCAGUGAAAUGCGUAGAGAUGCGGAGGAACACCGAUGGCGAAGGCAGCCCCCUGGGCUAAGACUGACGCUGAGGCACGAAAGCGUGGGGAGCAAACAGG